ensembl:miRNA eca-mir-1302b-2 eca-mir-1302b-2
GAAUGCCCGGUUAAAUUUCAAUUUCAAAUCAACAAUGAAUAAUUUUUUAAUCUAAGUAUGUCCCAUGCAAUAUUUGGGACAUACUUAUACUAGAACAUUAUUGUUGAUAUGAAAUUCAAAUUUAAUUGGACGUC